GCACUGGUGCUUCAGUAGUAGAAUUCUCCUCUUCCGUGCAGGAGACCCGGGUUUGAUUCCUGGCCAAUGUA
rnacentral:tRNA from 1 species